ACCUGGCUGGCUUGGUAGGAAGAGCAUGUGACUCUUGAUCCCAGGGUCGUGAGUUCCAGCCCCAUGUUGGGUG
rnacentral:tRNA from 1 species